ACCCGCACAAGCAGCGGAGCGUGUGGUUUAAUUCGUUGCUACACGAAGAACCUUACCUGGGUUUGACAUAUAGGUUGUAGGGAACUGAAAAGGGACCGACCUUCGGGAGCCUAUACAGGUGUUGCAUGGCUGUCGUCAGCUCGUGUCGUGAGAUGUUCGGUUAAGUCCGCUAACGAGCGCAACCCUCGUCGUAUGUUAUAUGUGUCAUACGAGACUGCCGGUAAAAGCCGGAGGAAGGUGAGGAUGAUGUCAAGUCAGCAUGACCUUUAUAUCCAGGGCUACACACACGCUACAAUGGUCUGUACAAUGGGUAGCCAAGCCGCGAGGCGGAGCCAAUCCUGAAAGCAGGCCUCAGUUCAGAUUGCAGUCUGCAACUCGACUGCAUGAAGCCGGAGUUGCUAGUAACCGCAGGUCAGCAAUACUGCGGUGAAUACGUUCCCGGGUCUU
rnacentral:rRNA from 1 species